GUCCACGCCAUAAACGAUGGACACUAGGCGUCGGGGGGAGCGACACCCUCCGGUGCCGUCGCUAACGCAGUAAGUGUCCCGCCUGGGGAGUACGGCCGCAAGGCUGAAACUCAAAGGAAUUGACGGGGGGCCCCGCACAAGCGGUGGAGCAUGUGGUUUAAUUAGAAGCAACGCGAAGAACCUUACCUGGGCUUGACAUGCUGGUGUAAGCCGGUGGAAACAUCGGCCCCUCUUCGGAGCGCCAGCACAGGUGCUGCAUGGCUGUCGU
rnacentral:rRNA from 1 species